rnacentral:rRNA from 1 species
GAUCAUGGCUCAGGACGAACGCUGGCGGCGCGCCUAACACAUGCAAGUCGAGGGGAAACGACAUCGAAAGCUUGCUUUUGAUGGGCGUCGACCGGCGCACGGGUGAGUAACGCGUAUCCAACCUGCCCAUCACUUGGGAAUAACCUUGCGAAAGUAAGACUAAUGCCCAAUGAUAUCCCACGAAGGCAUCCGAAUGGGAUUAAAGAUUUAUCGGUGAUGGAUGGGGAUGCGUCUGAUUAG